ACCUGGCUGGCUCAGUUGGUGGAGCAUGUGACUUUUGAUCUCAGGGUUGUGGGUUCCAGCCCUAUGUUGGGUG
rfam:Felis catus isolate Cinnamon breed Abyssinian chromosome B4, whole genome shotgun sequence.